rnacentral:rRNA from 1 species
ACGUAGGGUGCGAGCGUUAAUCGGAAUUACUGGGCGUAAAGCGUGCGCAGGCGGUUUUGUAAGUCAGAUGUGAAAUCCCCGAGCUCAACUUGGGAACUGCGUUUGAAACUACAAGACUAGAAUAGGUCAGAGGGGGGUAGAAUUCCACGUGUAGCAGUGAAAUGCGUAGAGAUGUGGAGGAAUAUCAAUGGCGAAGGCAGCCCCCUGGGAUCAUAUUGACGCUCAUGCACGAAAGCGUGGGGAGCAAACAGGAUUAGAUACCCUGGUAGUCCACGCCCUAAACGAUGUCAACUAGUUGUUGGUAGAGUAAAAUCUAUGAGUAACGCAGCUAACGCGUGAAGUUGACCGCCUGGGGAGUACGAUCGCAAGAUUA